AAUCUUCCACAAUGGACGAAAGUCUGAUGGAGCAACGCCGCGUGAAUGAAGAAGGCCUUCGGGUCGUAAAAUUCUGUUGUCAGAGAAGAACGUGCGUGAGAGUAACUGUUCACGUAUUGACGGUAUCUGACCAGAAAGCCACGGCUAACUACGUGCCAGCAGCCGCGGUAAUACGUAGGUGGCAAGCGUUGUCCGGAUUUAUUGGGCGUAAAGGGAACGCAGGCGGUCUUUUAAGUCUGAUGUGAAAGCCUUCGGCUUAACCGAAGUAGUGCAUUGGAAACUGGAAGACUUGAGUGCAGAAGAGGAGAGUGGAACUCCAUGUGUAGCGGUGAAAUGCGUAGAUAUAUGGAAGAACACCAGUGGCGAAAGCGGCUCUCUGGUCUGUAACUGACGCUGAGGUUCGAAAGCGUGGGUAGCAAACAGGAUUAGAUACCCUGGUAGUCCACGCCGUAAACGAUGAGUGCUAAGUGUUGGAGGGUUUCCGCCCUUCAGUGCUGCAGCUAACGCAUUAAGCACUCCGCCUGGGGAGUACGGUCGCAAGACUGAAACUCAAAGGAAUUGACGGGGGCCCGCACAAGCAGUGGAUUAUGUGGUUUAAUUCGAAGCAACGCGAAGAACCUUACCAGGUCUUGACAUCUUCUGACAAUUCCAGAGAUGGAACGUUCCCUUCGGGGACAGAAUGACAGGUGGUGCAUGGUUGUCGUCAGCUCGUGUCGUGAGAUGUUGGGUUAAGUCCCGCAACGAGCGCAACCCUUAUUGUCAGUUGCCAUCAUUAAGUUGGGCACUCUGGCGAGACUGCCGGUGACAAACCGGAGGAAGGUGGGGAUGACGUCAAAUCAUCAUGCCCCUUAUGACCUGGGCUACACACGUGCUACAAUGGACGGUACAACGAGUCGCUAACUCGCGAGGGCAAGCUAAUCUCUUAAAGCCGU
rnacentral:rRNA from 1 species